UGGGGAAUCUUGCGCAAUGGGCGAAAGCCUGACGCAGCGACGCCGCGUGAGUGAUGAAGGCCUUCGGGUUGUAAAGCUCUGUGGGAAGGGAAGAAUAAGUGCGGGCUAAUAUCCUGCAUGAUGACGGUACCUUCUUAGCAAGCACCGGCUAACUCUGUGCCAGCAGCCGCGGUAAGACAGAGGGUGCAAACGUUGUUCGGAAUUACUGGGCGUAAAGCGCGUGUAGGCGGCUGCGCAAGUCGGAUGUGAAAUCCCAUGGCUCAACCAUGGAAGUGCACCCGAAACUGCGUAGCUAGAGUCUCGGAGAGGAAGGUGGAAUGCUUGGUGUAGAGGUGAAAUUCGUAGAUAUCAAGCAGAACACCGGUGGCGAAGGCGGCCUUCUGGACGAUGACUGACGCUGAGACGCGAAAGCGUGGGGAGCAAAC
rnacentral:rRNA from 1 species